ACUCAACACGAAUUCUUUAAAAAGGGUGAGUUUAAGUUGUAAAAGCGAGCCGUCUUCGAGCGGAUACUUGAUCAGCUUGUUAACCCUAUACUUAUUUUACGGAGUUU
rnacentral:sRNA from 1 species